GGAGCGUCACAUUGCCUUCUGCUUGAUGCAGAAGUUUGUUGACUUGCAGAAAUUUGGAACUAAAUUGGAAAUUUUCUCGGUCUUUUCAGUAGAGCAUGUGAAGGGUUUUGUAUACUUUGAAGCUGACAAAGCUUGUGAUGUGACCGAGGCUUGCAAAGGGAUUUACGAUGUUUAUUCAAGCCAAGUGGGUCUUGUGCCCAGAAAUGAAGUUCCUCACUUGUUC
rnacentral:misc_RNA from 1 species